UAAACUUCCAAAUUAUUUAACUUCAAAAAAAACUUCCAAAUUAUUUCGUACAUUCUAAUAAGUUGGAAUAAAAUCGUAGCUUACUCCCCUCUCAAAAAAGAAAAUAUAAUAAGUAUAUUACUAUUAAAUUUUUAUUCCGGAUAUAACAAAAGCAACGAGAGAAAAAGAGUAAAAGAAAAAAAAUAUGGGAAAACAAAUUAGCAGUGAGGCUCAGAUCUGGAAAAACCGAAGCACAGGCAAGAGGAGUCGCCGCCAUGGCUGCAAAACCCGGUUGCAUGAGAUCUAGAGAGAUAGUAAUGCCCUCCGGGUUUGCCCCGCCAAGAUACGGGUCAGAUCCGCCUCCAUGCCCGACCCAACUCAGAGAAACUCAUCAUCACAGCCUCAAAUGAACUGGAAUCCUAGCGUUACAGACAGACAGAGAUCAAGAAGGCAGGGAAAUCAUCGGCAAACAGAGAGGGGCAACUACCAGCUACCGAGCCUCUCCGCUUCCCUCAUUUCCGACUUGGGAUUUUAGUGAGAGGUUUCAUGCAUUUCCAACCACACUACAACAGUACAGAUACUGCAAAACCAAAUGCAUUUUUGCGUUUCUUUAUCAGGUUUUGAAAUUGUUGCGUUUCCACAAACUCUGGAAUUGAAGAUGCAUACGAGAGAGAAGGGGAAUUAGGGCUCAAGCAGGAUAAAAGAAGGAUCUCGAAGGAAACGAUGAAUUGAUGGGUGUCUGCGUUAGAAACAAAGAGGGAAGUCAAAGACACAAAUAAGAAGAGCCAUUGGAUAGGAAUAAUUGAUCAGAGCCGUCCAUGAGUAGAAGAGUGCGAUAACUUGUUUAUUUCCUUACCUUUUUCAAUUUUCAAGUGGUUGUUUAAUUGGAGUUAAAUUUGAUCAAAAAUAAAUUUGUAAUUUAAUUAUCAAUUUGUUAUUGCAAUUUAAUUUGCUUUACUCUAAA